rnacentral:rRNA from 1 species
UACGUAGGGUGCAAGCGUUGUCCGGAAUUAUUGGGCGUAAAGAGCUCGUAGGCGGUUUGUCGCGUCUGCUGUGAAAGUCCGGGGCUCAACUCCGGAUCUGCGGUGGGUACGGGCAGACUAGAGUGAUGUAGGGGAGACUGGAAUUCCUGGUGUAGCGGUGAAAUGCGCAGAUAUCAGGAGGAACACCGAUGGGCGAAGGCAGGUCUCUGGGCAUUAACUGACGCUGAGGAGCGAAAGCAUGGGGAGCGAACAGG